rnacentral:rRNA from 1 species
UGGGGAAUAUUGGACAAUGGGCGAAAGCCUGAUCCAGCCAUGCCGCGUGGAUGAUGAAGGCCCUAGGGUUGUAAAGUCCUUUCGAUGGGGAAGAUAAUGACGGUACCCAUAGAAGAAGCCCCGGCUAACUUCGUGCCAGCAGCCGCGGUAAUACGAAGGGGGCUAGCGUUGCUCGGAAUCACUGGGCGUAAAGCGCACGUAGGCGGUUUUCUAAGUCAGGGGUGAAAUCCCGGAGCUCAACUCCGGAACUGCCUUUGAUACGGGAGAACUCGAGUUCGGGAGAGGUGAGUGGAACUGCGAGUGUAGAGGUGAAAUUCGUAGAUAUUCGCAAGAACACCAGUGGCGAAGGCGGCUCACUGGCCCGAUACUGACGCUGAGGUGCGAAAGCGUGGGGAGCAAACA